GGAGUUGUAACUCAGUGGUAGAGUGCUUGCCUUACAUGUGUGAGGCACACUGGGUUCAAUUCCCAAUACCA
rnacentral:tRNA from 1 species